rnacentral:lncRNA from 1 species
CUCUCUCCUGUUGUGUAUUUGAGAAUUUCUAUGACAAAAAUUACACACAAUGAGAUGCUGCUGGAAAUGCCCCUAAGAAGAUAUAGCAGACACCAUGGGUCAGCUUCUAAGCCAGUAUUCAUUCCUUGUCCCCCUGUUCUCUCUCUUCCGCAGAGAAUCUCAGUUCUGCUCAAGUGAGCGUGCUCUCUACCUGGCUAACUCCGGCCCUAGCAGAGAAGGCGAUCUUUGGCGCUGGCUGCUCUCCGACAUGGCCCACAUGAUGCAUUCAACAGAGGACGUGCUCCAAAGAUGUACCGUACCCCAGAGUCAACUGUGGUCUGCAACCAGAAGGUUUGUGAGUAACUGACCAUCAGAAGGUCAGUGAGUAAUUUGAAGCUAUGUCACAAAGCCUCCAUCAUUCACGUCACUGCAUCUCCUCACCCAGGCACCUCAUCAUCUCAUGUCAUCACUAGAGGAAGGGUGAGUUCGGUACCAUAAGGUACUCUGAGAGAGAGACCACAUGCACAUAAAUAUUAUUAUA